GAGAUCUGAUGGUUUGAUAAGGGGAAACCCGUUUCACCUGUCUUUCAUUCUCUCUUUUCCUGCCGCCAUUGUUGUGAGAUGUGACUUGCUCCUUCUUGCUUUCCACCGUGAUUCUGAGGCCUCCCCAGUCAUGUGGAACUGGGACUGAUCAGAGUCAAACCAUAUGCUGUGGCUUUUGCUCCAUGGAAAUCUCAACUAUACUGCAAGAAUAAUUAUUCCUACUUAAUGAAGUUACAGAAGAGAAUGUGGUGCUGGACGGUACUGACUGCAUGGGGAGAGGCCAUACCACAGAAACCUCAAUCUGCCUGAGCCGUGACUCUGAGAGCUGGAGUACCACUGGACAGGGUCUUUGGUACUUCCUCCUGCAUUCAUUCUCCUUCCUGCUGCCCUGUGAAGAAGGUGCCUUGCUUCACCUUUGCCUUCUACUAUGACUGUAAGUUUCCUGAAGCCUCGCCAGAGAUG